rnacentral:rRNA from 1 species
AGCGAACGCUGGCGGCAGGCCUAACACAUGCAAGUCGAACGAACUCUUCGGAGUUAGUGGCGGACGGGUGAGUAACACGUGGGAACGUGCCUUUUGGUUCGGAAUAACUCAGGGAAACUUGUGCUAAUACCGAAUGUGCCCUUCGGGGGAAAGAUUUAUCGCCAUUAGAGCGGCCCGCGUCUGAUUAGCUAGUUGGUGAGGUAACGGCUCACCAAGGCGACGAUCAGUAGCUGGUCUGAGAGGAUGACCAGCCACACUGGGACUGAGACACGGCCCAGACUCCUACGGGAGGCAGCAGUGGGGAAUCUUGCGCAAUGGGCGAAAGCCUGACGCAGCCAUGCCGCGUGAAUGAUGAAGGUCUUAGGAUUGUAAAAUUCUUUCACCGGGGACGACAAUGACGGUACCCGGAGAAGAAGCCCUGGCUAACUUCGUG